ensembl:lncRNA
UUUAAUACUUUUACUUUAGUUACCAAUGUGAAUUCUAGUGGCUAAUAUGCUUGAUUUUAUUUGCAGAUGGGAUGUGACCUUCGGCUGCCCUGGGCAGAUUCUCCUGUGAGUCAGUGGUGGAUUUGGUUUCUACAGAGCUCAGCCACCUGCACCAGUCAAUGCUGGGGACUUCUCAAAGAAAUGGUUCCAAAUUCUCCCAGUGUUGAGUUAGCAUACUCCAAGAGGAACCCACCAGUUACAGAGGGCUUUGUAUUACUGGUCCAGGAGCAAUUUCAGUGUCAAAAUUGCCCCAGGAACUUUGGGAAUAGUUGGGCAAAAUGAUGGUCACAUCUGGCACCUCUCAUGAUGUUCCAGUUGUUUACUUAUUAGUGAGUGAGUAGCAUGUGGGGCUGCAGGAGCCCACAGGCAUCCACUUCCAAAUCCUCGGAGUUGCUGCAGUGCACAGCUCUUGCUCUUCUUUUAUUUUUUCUUUCCAAACAAGUUUUUUUAGCCUUUGACAUUUUAGGAGAAAUUUACAAAAGAAAAAGAAGAGAAAGAUAUAUUCUGAUUUCUGACAAAAUAAACUUCUGCAAGAAUUUAAGUAAGCAAUCAAAAACUAACUAUAGGUGUAAUAAGCAGAACUUUAUGUAUUUAUGCCCAUCAAAGAGGCAACAGCAGAGUAGUGUUGUCUAUCUAUGUGCAGAAAACAGUGGUUUUCUCAGCUUCAUCUCAUGAGUAUGCAGAUGUGGCUGUGGCUAAAGGAGAUGUGCUUGAAGCAGUAAUCAACCUUAUAAUUCCAAUGGUAAAAUUGCCAUGUGAAGGCAUGCAACUCCUCGAGGGCUACAUGACUCUCCAUACAGUCUUGGCACUAUGUGGGCACCAUUGGUACCCACGAUGCACCCCAGACCUUACCUACACUCUGCUCUGUGUCAGGACUCAUUUCAGGACUCAUUUUGAUCUCAUUUCAGAGGUGACUGUACUGUGGGACUGUACAGAGCCAUGCUGGAUCAGAAAUGGAAAACAGAACCAUAGCCAGCAACAGAUGGAUAGAAGAAUUUUGGCUGGAUGUUGCACAAAAAGGUCUACGUACUCUUAGGUUUGUGGUAGAAGAGUUCUCCAAGAUGCUAAUUUUAGGUACAGUUUGAUGUAGAACAUUUGUUCUUCAAUAUCGACGACCUUCUUCAAAAGCACACGUUAUUCCAGACCUUGGGUAUGACAUAAAGGGUUAAGCUGUCCUGUUGUAUGGAGAAGCCAGAGCCGCCUCACUGCUCUGUGAAAUCCAAGGAAAGCAGUGGCUCCCGAAAUGCCCUCCCUUGCCUCAACAGUUUGAAGACUGGUUUCUGUCCUAACUUGGUCUGAAUCUGCCUUUGGUGCCAUUGUGGAGGGAGAAAACACUUCAACUAUGGCUUUCCCAACAGCCUUUUCCUGGGAUGGAUAUUUUCUUCUACAGAAGAAACUUCUACAGAGAAAUUCUGAUACGGUCAACUAACUAGAGCAUCUGGUGUAUGCAGCUGGUCUAAGGAUUCAGCAAGAGGUGAGACCAGGAGCUGUUUAAUCACCACAAACAUGAAGACUAACCCAAGCAUGCUCUCCCUUCUCUGGAGGAAGUCAAGCAGCAGCACUGAGGCAUAAAUGUUCAAGUCCCUUCCAGACGUCUUGCCUGCUUCUGCCUUGAGUCACUAGAAAAACAAGGUGGUUUUGCUGGGUGGAGAUUUGUGUCAGAAUAACUUGCAGAACCGAGCCCUCAGUUUGCAAACGGCGUCGAACUUCAGUUCAUUAAAAGAAAUUUCAGAGGUGAGCUUCGUGAUGCUUUAAACAAUCACUGGAGGAAAAUAUUGGAGCUUUCCACCAAGGCCGUGAGCCAAGCCAGGUUCCAUCUGUGCACUCUCCUCUACUUGAGUGGUCACGUCCAUGUGCCAUUACUAAGGAUGUAUGGUGGAAUCAUGCCAAGCCUUCAACCUCACAUUUUGAACUUCUCAAUAAGAAAGACGGGGGGAUGGUUUUAAAAAGCAAAAGUCCAUGUUCUUAAGCAUCAUACUUGCUCUUGGUAUUACUGGCAACGGCUGCCCAGGAAUCACUGUCCCUGGAGGUAUUCCAGAACCACAGAGAUGUGACACUGAGGGACACAGUGAGUGGACAUGGUGGGAGUGGACUGCAGUUGGACUUGAUCCUAGAGGUACCUCUGAGAGACAAAGGUCAGGAAAUGGGCUCCUUGCCAGGCCACGGCCACGAUCCAGGUUUUCUGAGACUGAGUACAUUCAUCUGAGCUGUUAGCUGCUACGCUCCACCGCAUCCCUGUAUGAUCUGCCUAGGCUUGGUCCCCCAGAGGAAAUUUCUGCAUGCAUACUGUAUAUGAACUUUAGAUAAAUAAAUAAACACGAGAAACAGCUUCCAGAUAAUUGAAAGCGAGUGAAGGAGGGAGCAAAAAGAAAACAAUUUCUCAGGGGAGAAGCAAGCUGAGGUGGCAGGUGCAGCCUAAAUUCAGCCAAGGUAUUUUGGUUGUUCACUACCUUCGCGUAAUUAAAUAUUGAAGCACGCUGAGCUGUGGUAUCAACAUCUGUAUGGUACAAAUACCUUUUCAGCCCAGCUGGACUCAGCUGCAUUAUCUGUGACCUGAAAAGCACAUGCUCACCUUGGUUAAAUGGGGCUCGACUCAGCAAUAUUCAGCAGAGCUGCGGCGGUUCCUGGCUCCGGCCACCAAGGCUCCACAGGAUUUUCACUGCUCAGGUGUUGCAAAGCCUAAUCCUUAUUCAGGAACCAAAACGCUCCCCUCUCCUUGCCUGCGGUGCUUGGAUGCCUGCCUUUGGCAGUAGCCCCAGACUCCUGCAGAAGAUGAAGACAUCCCUCCAUGCCUAUAGAUGGAAAAGCGCCAACAUGGAUGCCAUCAGAAGGACGCAGCUGAGCAUAUGCUGAGAAAAUUGUGGCAUCCAUACUGUACAUGGGGAAGGGCUGACUGAACACACCAGUUUGUUGAAGCUUAUGGCCCUGAAAAGGAAACAUAGGUUUCCUGUAAAUGUCAUUCAGGGAUAUGCUAACUGUUAUUUCCUGGCACUGGAUCAUGAUGCUUUCAACACAUUCUGUUCCUCUACCUCUGCUGCUACCUCUGCUGCCUGCCUGCCUGGUUGUGCGCAGUGAUAGCUCUCCUGUCUUCUCACCUUUCCUCCUCCCCGCGCCAGGCAAAGGUAUUCUGGUUGGGAGGGCCAAUGUCAGCGAGCGAGAUGACAGACGGAGAGAUGAAAUCUCAGCCCUGCACUCAGCCUGGCUGCUGCCUGUACCUGGGCCUUGCUGCACCAUCCCUUGAACGCAAAGCAAUUCAAGGAAAAGAGUAACUUCUGUUACAUUAGAAAUCACGCAUUUCUGACCCAGAAAGAGAGGAAUUUCACAGUCUCUCAGGACAUGUGCUUGAAGGGAGGAUUUCUGGAGCCUAAACCAGAGGAGCCCAGGAGCUGCUGGUGUGAAGGCUCACCGCAAGCACCUGCUGCUUCUGGAGGAGUUCCUGUGGCAAUGCAUGUGCUCAGGAUGAAUAGGUACAGCUGUCCAGUUCUAGUAGAUAUUUUUCCCUCUGGUUUAUACAUAUUUGAAAAGCUACACAUGAAUAAACACAUAAAUUAAUGCUAGAUGUACUUCUUAUCCAUGCAAGUGUGAGCUGUAUGUAUAUAGAUACACAUACAAAUAUGGGCAUAGUUAUCAGCCUUGGUAUCCUACUUGUUAAGGUAAUUGUGUCAUUUAAAUUCUGUCAUACUUGGUUCAAGACAGAUUCAUUAACUGGUCCUAUUUAUUACUCCAGGAUCUGAGCACCUGUUUCUUAGAGGUAAAACCAGAAUAAAUCUCCUAAUUUCCCAGGUUCUUUUACAUUUUCGCUUCGAAAUAAUGAGACGCUUAUAUUCAAAGAAAAAAAAAUGAAAUAUCUGAUACUGAAAAAUACAAUCAAGUUAAUUAUUUAGGUAUACCGAGGUGAAAUUAUUGCAUUUGUUUGUCUGUGUAGAUAGUUUUCUUUGUGCUGGCAUAAGCCCUGAUGCUGGCCAUAUUCUGUGAACACAGUUAUUAUCAUAUUUAGUAUCUUAAAUGUGUACGUACAUAAUUGCUUUAUAUGUGUUUGUGCUUCCAACAUAUCAGACUGGCUAAGAGAGAGCAUCCAUAGCAGUAUCAAAUUGCUUACUGCUCUCUCCACAGUCAACUAGAGCACAAGGAGGAGAGGAAAGAACAACAGAAGCUCUGACUAACAAUUUCUCUCUCUCUCCCUAUUUAUUUAGGAAUCCAAGUUAACAGAAGGAAGAAACAACUCUUUUGUAGUAAUGCUCUGUAGGGCAUUAUCACAGCUAAUCUUAUGGUGGUAUGUUUUAGUCCAAAAAUGUUACUGCUCAGGUCCAUGCUACACCAUUUGUCAGUUGUUUACACCCUACAUAUGGAUUAGCACUGUAUGCCAGCCAUGAAAACCUGUUCUGCUCUUAACCCACCUGCAUGAAGCGCUGAAGCAGCUCACUGCAUCUGAUAUUUAGCUUUACUUCCUUAAGAUGUUGGACCACAAGAAGCAGGCACAGGUACAGGUAACUUGGUAGUGUAAUAAACUCUCCCCAUGUUUCAUCCACCAUUGGCUGUCAAGUUUAAAGAUGUUUGUAAUGAUUUGCCACUGGUGAAAUCCAAAGUAAGACUAGGAAUGUGUCUGUUUUGGCCAACUAGUAAUGACAGCUUGAAUGAUAUUGCACCAAAGUACUUUUGGACCACUAUUGGUUCACUGCCUGAAAAUAAAAUCUUUUUAUUUAUUUUGUCUCCUAUACCCACCAUUCAGAUUUCCUUCAGGAAACAUACCCUGGCCCCUGUCCACUAUCGGAUAGGUGAGAGCGAGGCGGUCUUUGCAGUGGUUAAGCACAAAUUUUGCAGAGAAGGGAUAAAGUGUUGUGGGCAAGGACCUGUGGGCUGAAAGUCAGAGUGACCAUGAUGCAGUGCCAUCACCCCACCUCACAGCUCAGAGUCUUGCAUAUCGCAUGGGCUGCCUGGAGCCUACACAGUUCACAGAGUGGAAAAAGGAAUUGAAGAAGCAAAAAUAAAUACUAAAGCAUGUAAGAAUUAAAUAUCACCUAUUUAAAUAGCAAUUACGCCGCUAAAAACAAGAUCACCACACCUGUACAAGAAAAGACAAGCAAGCCCAAAACAUCUGUUUGCAUCCACCUGCCAAGCACCUGUUCCGCUGUUUCAAUGCCAUUUGAUUGCUGGAGAUGUAGAGGCUCUUGUGAGGCUGGUCGUCACACAGGAAACUGUAUGCAGAGUCCAUCAGCCCAUGCUCUUCAUCACGAACUCAGUUGCUCUUUAAGACCAUCUCCCAGAGAUGAGGAAGAUGCGUUGAUCCAAACGAGACGCAGCCAAGCUUGGAGCAUCCUCUCUGCUCCAUCCCAAGAGGCUGCUGUGGUCUGGAUCUCAUCUCGUCUUCUAGUAACAUCUUCCAGAUUUGUUUUAAACUGAUUAGACGCUGCUGAAGAAUCAGCUCUCUCCCCCGGACAGUACAAAGCAGAGUGCUGGCAGAGCUGGCUCUUGGCCAUCAUCUACAUGGUGACGCAGCAUCACAUCACUUGACAGCCCCAAUUUCAUUUGGGGAGCUCUGAAACGUUCACAUGCACUGAAAAAAAUUAUAAUAAUACACAAGGUGACAGGAGGGUGCAAUUAAAACAGAAGCGCCAGCUUGACCAGAGAGUGGCUUUAAUUGGAGGUCUUCUGUACGCUGGAGCACAGACUCUAAAAGGUAUUUCUGCCUUUCUAAUGUGGCUGCAUUUCUGCCUCUGAAUUUUGAUUUUGAAAAACAGAAAAUGAUGCCUUUUUUAUUGGGCCAGUGAGAGAAAUUACAGGGAAUGAGCUGAGUGAAUUUAAAAUUCUCUCAGUAGGGUAUAAAGGCAGGGAAAUACUUGUCCCUCCAUAGCUCAGUAACUUCCAGUGCAGGUUAUACAUAGGAACACUCGUUCCCAGUGCCCACCUAAGCAUGGGGGUUCAUGUAAGUGAGGAUCACAUGUGUUGUCACCACCUCGAUUCUCUGCUGGAUGGAUCUCACCCUCACUUUAAACAUAAGGAAGAAAUUCAGAAGGUCACCACAUCAAAUACUAAUUCUGAAAUUCAUUUCUCCCUAAAGAUUAAUAUAAAGCCCAAAAUGAAAUACACUGAAAAUAAGCAAAGUUAGCUGCAGUAUUUGAGUCUUCCCAUCACAGUGUCCUAAGAGGUAUCCUGUGGUUUGACACAUAAUUAAUAUGUUUAUCUAUCUUUGCUUUCUUUCAUUCUUUGUUUUCAAUAACAGCCAUCACCAUAAUAGUCAAGUAUAAACAUUCCAUCCUGUUUCAUAAAGAGCCUACGGUCCAUUUUAUUGCAACACAGUUACUUUCCCAGAUCCCACGAGUGACAAGGCGUGAUGCUUGAAAAAAUUCUCUGAAAUUUUCUCACCGUUUUUGCUUGAAGUAAGUUGCAUUCUGUUUACAAACUUGGGAAAAUGGGCCUCUUUUGCCUACUUUUGAGUGUCAUGGGAACACAUACCGAGAUCUGAUCCAGUAGCACUGCGUGAUGCUGGGAGCUUCUCAGGGUCCCGUAGUUUGCCCCCGAGGGUGUUUCAGGAUGCGGUGUAAAGUUGCAUGCUGUUUGCCAUGUCCAGGGUCCCAGACACAUGGGGAAUCAGACUGGCUCCAAUAUUGAAAGCUGAUCAUUUUUCAGACAAACAUAGAUAUGACUUUUGUUAUUUAUUCACGCUGAAAUGUUAAUAUGUCCUCAUUACUCUAAAUUAUUUCAUUUUCAACUUACAGUAUGUUCAUGGAUUAUUUGAAGGAAUUACUGGCUUUAGCUUAUGUUAUCUGUGACUCACUUUUAAUAGACUUGACUGGCCAGGUAAUUUCCACAGUAUUGUUUUUGGCUCCUUAACUGGAUCCCAUCCAAGUUUACAAAGCGCUUCCACAGAGAUAAUGGAGAACAUUCCAGCCUCCUGUGAAAUGUCAGCUCUGUGUCCAGUGUUAGACGUGCAGCAUUAACCUGGUUAAAGCUGCUGGAUUCUGUAAUUUCUUUCUUGGAAGUACCAAACAUCCUAAAGACACCAAGUCAAAUCUGCCAAAAGCAGGAGAGAAAAAGAAAAUGGGAGACUCAGAGUGAGAGUGAAAAGUAAAUGCAAUGCUAUUACUUUACACCAAAGAACUGUAAGUUAAUUGAUGUCCAUAAUAAACUUUCAGUAGAAAAGUAUUAAAUAUUUUUGAAGACGUCUGUAAAUCCAGUAUUGGAAAAAAAAAAGUUACUGUUAUCUGGGUUUAAUCAGCUGAGAAAAGCAUGAUGAUAAAUAAGAUUUAGUGGAAGCAUAAAUUGAAAAUGGCGAAUAAUACUUUUAAAAGGGAGCCUACUGGAAUACGUAUGUCUCUAUGUCUCUGAGGUAUUUGAUUUGGAAUAUAUAAUCAUCUCCUUUGAGGAUAUUUAUGAAAGUUAUUUCUGAAUGUUCAGAGAUUUCUCUGCUUUUCAUUAUCUAUUUUUCUUAACAAGGGCCAGAACUGUAUGCCUGAUUUUCUGUGAUAUAUUCACUUGGGAGGUUUUCUCGUACUGGCCAAGGACACAUCGUUUACAAGAAGGUCCUGUCAAGCAUCCAAAUGUCUCUGCUGAAGCUUCCAUUUUAGAUGACCCCACAGAAUGUGAGAAAACCUUCUUUUAGGGGAAUGGCAUCUUCUGGCCAGAGCUGUGUCCUGAAAGGCUGCCGUGCUUAACGCACAGUUGAAAUGCCCAAUGCAAAUUAAUGGUAGAGGUAGGGAUGAUGUACCUGUGUUUUCUCAAGAAAGAAAACUCAAACCCUUGGGAUGAUAUUUUCUGCAUGCAUGAUUACCUUCAUUGCAAUUUGGAUUUCUGAGAAGGUCAGUUGGACUUUUGGGCCCUGUGUUCUGGAGAAAUCUGAAGAAUUUGGGUCAUCUUCCUCUCUUGACUUAAAAAUAACUUCUGUUAAUGCAAUUUGGAAAGCAUAUUUCUUUGAAUAUGAUCUUCCAUUUGCAGAGGGGGCAAAGUUUACAAUUUUGGGUGGAAACCAUGUGAAAGCUAGCAGUUCCAUCAGGGGUUUGUUUGGAAAUUUUUGGAUUUGUUCAAACUCAAAAGUCAAAGUGAAACUCGGGGGAUGUGAACCCGCUUGAAUCAAAACCAAAACAGUGAUGCGCCAGAUCUCCCAUGAACCAAAACCACCGGGUUCUCACAGUUCUCAUCCAAACAAAAAUGCACUAACAUAAAUCAAAUACCGAACCAAAUAUCCUCUUUUGCUCCAUCUGGCUUUCAUGGAAAUAACUCAGAAUAUUUAAAAGGUCUGCUCAGUUUUGCAGCAGCAACCACCAAAAUAUCCUGAGAUCAUUUGAUAUCUGGCAGUUAAUAUCCUGAUCUAUUCUCUUUAGUCAGUAUUCCAAUCCUUUUCUACCAACACUGCCUUGGAGUGCACAGCGUAACUAUCCCUUAACAUCUUCCUCGAUUGUACGGUUUCACAGGGAAGACUCUGUGAACAAUUCACUGUCCUUCUCCUUCUCAUUCUUGCUCAGAGAGCCAAGAAAGGAGUUGGAGCUGCAAGCAGAAAAAACCAAGCAGUACGAUCAGUACGGAAGCAGAACACUUAGCUGCUAUAGGACAAGCUGGGGCACUGAGAAAAUAUUUAAUGAUAAUUUUCCUUGUGAUUUCCCUUGUUUGAGACCAUACUAUGACCCUGAAAUGAGAGAAUUAAAAAAAAAAAAGAUGUUUUGCAGCAUAUCAUGUAGCAAAACGUCUCUAAAGCCAUUAAAAAAAGUGCUGGGCAUGGAAGAACAGAAAAGGUUUCCUCUGUAACUAAGACACGCUUGUUUGUAAUAACAUGUGCUUUCAAACACUGCCAAGUUGCUGAGGAUAUCUCUGUUAUAUACAAUCCUGAAAAAUGUAAGUGUUAAAAAAAACAAGGUAAUGUAAAAAAAGAAAAAAAAUCUAAAAAAAAGAAGAGUUUGAUCAGAUGGUUAAAAUCCAGUCAAACCUAAGACAACCUGUUUAUGACCUUUCCAUGCUAAAAGCUAGAAAUGUCUUUCUUUCUUUCUUUUUUUUUUUUUUUUCCACAAGAUUAAUUACCAUCACUUUGGGAGUAGUGAGCUGGACAUUAUUAUAUGAUGUCAAUUAAUGAUUAAAAAAAAGGUGGUUUGCAAAUGUAGCACCACAGUCCCUGGUGCAUUACAUCAUUUCUGAAAGAUCUUAACACGUGAUAAGCAGAGAACAUUUUAACCUAAAAGUCUGAGUGUUACAACCUCCUUUUCUGUUGUAACACCCUACCCACAACCUUUUGGCCUUGAAGUCACUCGCAAUAAAAUUAAGAAGUCAAAAAGAAAAGGGGGGAAAAAAACCUCUGGGAAAGACAAGACACACUUCUGUUUUGCUGUCGAGCAGAUAAUGCAACAAAAUGAGUGGCUAUACGCAUUGGGAAACGUGGUUGCUGAUCUUUGUGCAGUGUUCUCAGCAAGAUUCGUCAUCAAAAUCUCAUGCUUAGAGUCGUAAGGUUGCUGUGAUUCAGGUAUUAUAAACUACAUAAUGCAGUUAUCUCUGUGAGAGUGCCUCGAAAAUUUCAUGCGCUGACUGAAAUGACUCCUGCACUUGUCUAUGCGCUGCUUUCCCAGAUGGGCUGACAGUGAUCAUUUUAUGUGCCUUAUUGAAUUCGCUGAAAUAUUUAGAAGGGUUUCUACCUAUAUUUUACAUCUCCUUCUGUUAUUACCUUUUUUGCAGCAACAGUUUGACUUCUUCGUCAAUAAUACACAUAACCUGAUCCAUUCUUCUCUGAGCUCUUCUCCUCUUUUAGCGUCAAAAUGCUGUGGAUGUUCCUUUGUAAACGAUAUGCAUUUAAAAUACCUUUGUAAUAAUAAAUACCACACGAACAUAUGUAUCAAGGAAAGGAUUUCAAUUUUGAUGACACUUGCUUCUCAAGAACAGACAUUCUGGAAGGAAAAAACAUUGCCAGCCCCAAAUUGAUUGACAUUUGUUUACUUAACUCUCUCUUCUUGAAAGUCUGCACACCUAUUUCAACCUUGAACAGUUUCCAACUGUGGUAUACUGGAACAUUUUUUCAUUUAUUAAGUUCAGUGUUGCCAACCCAAACAAAGAGUAAUCAGUGAUGAUCCAAGCAGACCAAGCUGUCUAGCACCAUACAAUGUAUCUGCAUGCUAAUUUUCAAAUUCCCUCACAUUUCCAGAGAACUAAUGGGAUCAUUUUCAUUCUGUUACAGCAACUCAACAGUUACUGAAUCACCAUCUGUGUUUUCGUUAACCUGAAUCAGAUAUGAAUUCUGUUAUUGCAAGGUAGAGCAGCUUGUUUAAUGAUUCUUAAUCUUUUCUUUAAUUAAAUCAUGCAGCCAACCUGAAAAAUCUAUCUUAAUGCAAAUUAGGAGCUUUUUUGGCAUUCACUUACAGUAAUGCACUAAUAAGGUUAAUUUAUGAAGGUUCUCUUCCAGUCUGUACAGAUGAUAUUUGUUCGCUGCAUAUUUUUAGCAUAUUGUCCCCUUUUCUAAUAUUUAAAAAAAUAUCGCUAAUAAAAAAGGGGUUGUUUUCACUCAUACAAAAGAGGAAGGCUGCGAGCUGCUUUUUGUUUAUUUGAAAGAACACAGAAAAGGAAGAUGGGUUUCUCCCCUCCGUGAGCAUCUCUCCACGCGGGUGCAGAGGCACAAAUCGAGGACUGCUGGGUUAAAUGGUUUUGGAUGAGCACUCUCCACUUCUCGCUGGAGAAAUUCAGGCCCUGGUUCAGAUGAGCAUCUUGAAGUUAUCAGUGGAGACAGAGAGUUUCUCUGAACCCUUUGUUUUAUUUUUUUUCCUUGUAGGUGUGAAUUAAUUGUAUAAAGAGUAAAUAAUUCUUGUGAAAUAAGCCCGAAUACUUUCCUCAGUUGCACAAUUGCUUCAGCUCGGGGCUCUGAUGAUCUCAGUCAAGAAAAUUUCUGUCUUUGAACGCAUUCCUCCCAACUACAGAAUUAGUUGAAAUCUGUUCAAGUUGCUGAGUAAAGAGUAAACUUUGUUGUUUUCUUUUUAAGGUUAUUUUUCAACACCCACAAGCAAAUGGGGACAGCGACUGCAAAUUUCAACACGCGGCCGUUGCUAUUUAAUUAAAAUCACUGAGGCUGGCUGAAGACUUUUCAGCAGAGUGAUUUCACAUCAGAGAACACCGGUUCUCAAAAUCUGAACAUUCUUUUCAUAGAAAUCCAUCCCUCCAUUUCAACCAGGAAUGAGAUUUCAGUUCUAGGAAAGGACUUCUCAUCCCAGCUAGGAACGGCAAACCAUCACUCCCCUUUUGCGGCGGGGCUGCCCAACCGUGGCAGCCAGAGCAUCUCUUUCCACCCCUCUCUGUAUUUCCAGCUGUAAUCGUUCCAUGUCUGUCUGCAUUAACUAUUUGCACAGCUCAGGACAGGAGCUCUUGUCCGAGGAGUGGGGAAUCACCAAGGCUGUGAUUCUCUCUGUUUCAUUAAAGGUAACGCCUGCAGGGUGGUUGAACCUUCCUCUCGUUCCUUGCGACCGGGGAAUGGAAACAAUAUCUCACACUAUUUGUGCAGUGAUUCCUGGCUUGUUAAUAUUCUGGUGUGGCUGUUUUUCUCUGCUGUGAGGAACUUUGCCCACUUAGCAUGGGGUUUUGCCUCUGUCUAAGUGGGAAUGCUGCUUUUCCUUUUCCCUUCUUCCAUUUGGAAAGCUGUUUUCCUGCCAUUGCUAGUCCUUUCUGUGUAAUAUUACCGCAGAGAGAAUGAAAAGUAACUGCUUUCCUUCCCAUCCAAUCGUACCUACGUAGUCUUAAGUAUAUUAUAUGCUUCGCUUCCUGCUUCACCCACUAGUAAAAUAUGUUGAUAGAUGAAUAUGGGGGUAAGAUUGCUUUAAUUAGAACCUAUUGCCCUGCACACUAUCUUCUCUAAAGACUACCUGUAUUAACAUCUGGGGAAAAUAAGUCUUAAAGAAAAUUUCCUAGGACAGAUUUUUGGACUUCACCCCCCACCUUCUGCUUCCCAACCCUUUCAAUUUCUCAAGUAUAUUUAAAAAUGCAUGACUCACCCUGUUGCUUCCUUAUAUUUUAUGGUGAGGUGGUGAGGGGGAGUCUCUUCAUUUUCAUUCCUGGGAUUACCUUUAAUGAAGUGGAAAACAUCUACGGGAUGGGAUAAUACCUGAUGCUUACAGUUUUCUUUACAUCACAUUACAGUAUUUUCUCAGGUAUUAAAGUAGCACUGGACUCAACUAAGAGGAGUGAUCAAACUGUCUACUAAUGAAGUUACUCUGACAGGAACUCCAGGAACCGGAAACUGAACUUCAGAAUCAUGAAGAGCACUGCUAGAUGAAGACAUGGGCUGGAUACAUGUCUACCACACUAGAAGAAACUGAAAGAAUACGAUCCCAUUUGACUCCAAAAGUCUUUCUAGGCUAAUUACCAGCUCACAGAGCAGAGAAAUUAAGGCAGAGAGGGAAUGUUCAUGAUGACAACCUUUACCCAUUAGCAAGCUUUGCAUUUUCCCAAGGCUGAAGACAGUUUAGCCCUGACAAAUCCAAUCAGUGAUAUGCAGGCGUAACCUCCAGAAAUAAGCUCACAUUUUUGGGAUCCACGGGGCAAAAGAUGGACUGCAGUAAGUCACUAUGAAAAUAUUUAAAAUACAGCUUGGCCAGUGCUGAAAUGGCACAGUUGGCCUGAAGUCGCUUCAAGGUCUCCUGGCAUCUGCGUGUUUCCCCAGUGGCUUUGUGCAGUAAAGUGUUAACUUCUCCUGAGUGGUUACGUGUUUAAGGCAGUAACUUUAAAAUAAAGAACUGCAACCUUAGAGCAAAGCUGCUAUUUUGAGAAUUUUAAACCAUUAUUGACUCCUGUCAGAUCAGUUUCUAGACUUAUUGACUCAAGAAGUAAAUAUAGACUGAGAGAAAGCGAGGUCAAGUCAAUAUUUAUCUUGCAGAUCAAUACAUUUUGAUACUAACCAAAAAUUAAGCUCAAUAAAUGCAUAUAUUAUACACAGCAAGGUUAGAAGAGAUCCAUUCAGAAAAUUUGUCAAUUUGAAAUUUCCCAACGGAAUCCAACCUUUUGGAUUCAAUUUCCAUUAGAAAUUCUGUCCCUUUAAGGUUGCUUCAGUGACUGAUCACGAGCCCCCAUCACCCAAUCAGGUUUCCAGAUGAACGUUGAGUAGCAGCGAAAGGAAAAGGGAAGAAUGAUGAAGUGAGAAGAAGUUGGUCACAGGAGCUCGAUUACGGUGUUAGGAGGAGACUCGGCAGGGAUUGAAAUAACUAAAAAGAGAAAAAGAAAAGUGUUGGUUUUAUUAGAGCGAGUUUCAAGGUCUGUCUGUUUGUGCACAGUCCAAAUCUCAGGCGGCUCAGCUUAGGGUUUGUACCAUCAGGAGAACGGAAGAGCUGGCAAGCUGAGACACUACCAGUACUUUGUGGAAACCGACAUAUGAAUUUGUUCUACAAAUGUGCCAGGGACACACUGAUCCAACAGUUAGAUCACUUCCAGAAGACACGGAGUUAGAUCUCUGAGUUCACUUCCAAUUGCUGACUACUACUAUCCAAUAAAAGAAAAAUUCUGCGUAAAGUAAACAAGGAAAAUGGAGGAGAUUCUGCUGGAAGGACAGAAGGGACAGCAAGCAUGGAGAUUUAAGUCAGAGGAAGACCGACUGUCACUGCAGAGGGGAAAGGGCAUGAGAAUGAGCACUGCAAGAAAAAAAAAUCAUCAAAAAAUUCCUCCUUCUCUGGGAUGAAUACAGGGGAGUAAAUGUGUUCCUACAAAAAUUGAAUUAUGUAGUGAUUUUAAAUAUGGUGUGAGAAUGAAGGACAUAUGAGCUGCAACGAGAGAACCAAAGAGGAAUUAUGUGAUGUGUUCAGGCUGGGAGUGUGCCUCACAUGACAACAGGAAGAGAGGAAAGGUGGAGGAAAAAAAGAUCAGAAUCUACUCUAUUCUGAGCCAUUAAUGUCAGCCAUGUUGAUGUUUUGUAGCUAGUUAUAUUUGCUGAUGGUUCCCACGCACUCAUGACAUUCAACUUUGCAUCAUCCCCUAAAAACUGGAAAGAUGUCUCUCUGAGAAUGACCUAUAGCUUUGAUAUCACCAUAACUAAUUUCCUUUUCCUAAAGUAAUGGUGCCUACUCUUGAGGAGCAGAAUGCUGUGAGCUUUUAUUUCCAGUCUGAGGAUAGUUCUGUGAUAGGUGGAAUAAUGCCAGAACCUACUUUUCAUUAGAUUGUAUGAUCUGACUUUAUCUUGCACGCUCUGUGUGGUUUGAGUGAAUAAAUCACACCAGAAUUUAUGGGGUUUUCAUCCUUACAAAUGAAUCUUCAUCAUUACUAUGUGGAUAUAAGUAUUCUUGGGCUGCAGAAGACAGUGAGACCCACCAGGGCAACACAAACUGAUUCCAACUUGCCACCUACUACUCCCUUAACCCAAAACUCCAAGGACCUGGGCCACUGAAACACUGGGAUCCCAUAGGGACCUGCCUGGCCAUUCCAUUUGGGGUUUGCAGGACAGGAUCCUGGUCUUUUGUGAAAACUGUUGACUAAAAAUUUGAUUUUCUCUUUCUCUUUUUUUCUUUUACCUUAAGAAGGGCAGAAGAGGAAUGGCCAGAAGCCACCUCCUUCUUUUUUGGACCAGCCUGCUUUUCUAAGGGCAACAAAAACCAACAGAAGUGGUAGAGAAGAUGAAUGCAUCUUCCCUCCCUUCACAUAAAUUUGUGGGUUUUUUUUUCCUGUUGUUGUUGUUUUAUCCUUUUUUGUUUUAUUAUUUUUCCUAUUUAUUUUGCAAUUGGAAAAGUCCUGGGAUUUCAUUAACAACUUCCCAGGAUGACAGUGAGACCCUCACGACCCAGCAGCGAGUCCCAGUUCCCACCUGGGUGCCUCUGGAGAGUGACAAAUCUCUUGGAUGUGCUCUAACAUCCCAGAAGCACAGGCCAGGAACAUCUGUCUGUUCCUUCCCUUCCUUCAGACUGCCCCGAGGAGGAGGGAGGCAGGCAAGUAAUGAUACGAAAGGCAAAGGCUCAACUGGCCGUGUUACAUUAGCCAACUCAAAUAAUUCCUCUUGGCUGUGGAAACAGCCUUCCCAUCCAAAGCGGUCUUUUUUUUUUUUUUUUUUCCCUUUUUCCCCCCCAAAAAACAAGAACAGCUUAUUUCCAAUUUUGGGCAGGUUCCUUGGCCAUGGGCCAGCUCUCCCCAUUGCCUCUCCGUGCUACUUCCCAAUGACCCUCAAGUGACCUUACUGAAUGCCACGGGGACCAAACCUUACCGAACAGCAAAAUCAAAGUAUGUAAAUGAAGCUUGGAUUAUUACAUAUAUAAUGAUGAAAAUGUUUUUCCUAUGCUAUUGCCUGUGCCCAGCUUCCUUCCCUACCACUCUGAGUGCUUCAGAGCUGUGUAUAGCUGUUGAGCUGAAGCACCCAAGAAUGGCUCUGAAGCAGGAAGAGAGAUCAAUCUGCAGGCUGGUUUUCCAGGCACUUUCUUUCUCAUUCUCCACAAGAUAGUUGAUAUUCCUCCGGAUUUUGCUGUUAUUAUUUGGGUGUCUCUACUUCACAGAAAAGGGCAGAUGAAUGCCUUUUGCAGCCUCUUCAGUCCACUCUAGUUCUAUUUUAGGCUGAGAAGACUGUGCUGCUUGGGUAGAUGGGUGCAUUUCAUGCCAACAGCUUAGUCUUUCUGCAAAGUUAGGCAUCUCAGUUUGAAAAAAUAAGUACUAGGUAAAGCUGUUUGAAUCAGUGCAGGAAGCUGAGUUGCUAUCAGAUGUAUAUGGCAUAAAGUACGUAUCCUGAUAGGUACUCUUCUUCAAAGGAAAAGUGGUGAUGUUUACUUGUGCAUUUUAAUGAUGAGAGGAUGCGUACUGUGACACGAAAUCCUAUCCACUGUACCAGUUCAACAGCAUUUAAACACUGAAGUCUGAGCUACGCAUAACCAAUGGGAAGGAUGUGGAAGAACGCUUGCCUGAAGACACCUACUCUUUAUUUUUAUUACAAAGUCAAUUACCAUUUCAAAGCAGCCAUGUGACAUGUAUACUGUCAGGAGCCAGAUGUUGGCAUUGUGAUAUUGUGACAUUAAUUUAAAAGAAGAGUCUUUUUUUUUUUUUUUAAAUGCUGACUUCCCAAGGAUUAAGUUGGAUAUUCUCAAUGUAGUUGAAAAAAGAAUUUACAUUCCCCAAAGACAAACAUUCUUGUUUUCUGUUUGGUUUUAUAACUCAGUCAUUUCUCUAUUGAAGAAGCACAAAACAGAAAGAACUUUUGGUUUCAGGUAGUUUCACUUCAGCUGAUCUUUCUAAAAGCAUGCACCUUUUUAGCUGUUUCAGUUAUGAAUCAUAGAAUGGCCUGGGUUGAAAAGGACCACAAUGCUCAGCCAGUUCCAACCCCCCUGCUAUGGGCAGUUGCCAACCACCAUAUCUUCUUUAUAAAGGGAAGUUUAUUAAGUAAAAUUUGGGUUACUGAGGUUUUAGCACAUGUUGCAUUGAAUCCCUUUUUUUCCCCCCUAAAUCACGUGGUUAAACUUAGUUUGGGUCUCUUACAACCAGAAUCCCUGCUGACUCCGCUCUGGUCCAGGCAGAUUGAACUGAGUCGCAACACUGCUGGUACGCGUCCUCAUCCCCAGUGCCAAGAAAAACCCUUUCCCUCUGUGUUUUCUUGUUAGCAAUACUGCUAUGGAGGCCAAGGACUGACAAUCUUUCUCUUAAUUCUCAAAUCCUCUCCUCCAACAGGGAAGAAGGAAAAAGAUUGAAAAACCUUUUGCUAUUGUUUGGUUGUUUGAUCAUAAAGGGGAACUAGACUGCCAAGCCAGCACCCCAGCAGCCCUAAAUCUAUGUGUAAAAUAUGGGCAAAAGGAGAGAAAAGAUUUAUUGUUAUUAUUAUCAUUACAGACUACCUUUAUAAUAUAUGUGUUUCACUUAAAUUAAUAUUUUAUAACUCUAUAUCAGCCUCUGCAGCCACCCAACAGCAUUUCUUAUUUAUCCAGUCGGACAUACUAAUUUGCUUUUAUCAAAAUACUUGAGAAAUAAUUGUCUUACCUCUCCUAGGACAUGCUACAGGGUUUAUUCUCUCCUUGCUAUCUACAUAGUUAUAAAUCCUCAUGCAUUGAGAGCAGAAUAGGCUUUAUGUGUCUAGCAAUUUCUUAUGAUUUCUAGGCUAUUAUCCCCAAAUCCUAAUUAACCAUUUUUAAAAAUAAUGUGGCCUUUCUACCACGUGAGAUAUACCAACAUGAUAAGAUACGAUGUGAAAGUCCCAAGUAUAAUGUAAUUCUGCUGCUUUACUUUUCCUCUUUUAUUAGAGAUUUCUAACAUAAUACUGCAUUUUCAUCCAAAGUGACAGGAUUCAGUACAUAGUUUGUAGUAUAUGUUUUGCAAACUGCCAGAACAGAGCCAUUGAAUUUAGUUUUCUAAUAAUCAUACAGCCAUACAACACGCCCGUACAUGUCAGAAACUGAAGAAAGCAAAUUUAUACACAACAAUGUGUAUUUUGUAGAUAGCGAUAACCCACCCAAAUCUAAUUUAAUCAAAUAUUUAAAGAGGUAAUAAUUAAUUUUUAAAGAAUUGAAGUGAACCGUAACUAGGAGGAAAUGUUAUUGUUUAUUUUUAAUGCCAGAACUGUAUUCCUGAUGCAUUUUUAAUAUUUCAUUAAGGUGGUAACUUUCAUGGCGUAUUUUUUCAAGUUUCAUAUCUCCCUGAUUUAUUUCUUUUCUUCUGAAGAAAGGUAAAAUGCUAUAGGGAAACUUAAAGCUUAGAAUGAUGCAUUCUUUGAGGAGCUCUUCCUAAAACUUCCUGGAGUCUUUUUAAGCAGAAUUCUUCUUAAGCCUUUCUGGACAAGCAUUCUAAAACCAGAAGUCUUUUAAACAAGCUGAGGUACAGCAUCUGCUUCUGAGCUGAGCAAAGGGUUCUUCUUUCAGCCAAUGAAUGUGUUCAUUGGGUACUACUUUCUAUUCUGUCUCCGAGCUAUUACUCAUCACUCAUCAUUCUUACUUUCCAGAAGAGAUAUCUGCAAGAAUGGUUUUAAAGCCCAUUGCAUUUCAAACCUGUGUUCUGCCCUUCCUCAGUCCUUUGUUUUUUGUUUUAUCCCUUCUUUUCGAUGGAGCGUCUCUCACGUUUUUGAGCCUUUCAUACUCAAACUGUGGAAGCCUGUUUAUUUCACUCUGGCUCCAGCCCUAGUUAAAGGUGUGAACUACCAAAGUGGAAGGGGGCACAUGCACAUUAACACUGCUGUGGAAAACGUCGCCUGACAGAUGGAUGCAUGUUAAAUGGGUGUUUGAAGAAAGGUGUUUGCAAUAAAAAUCCUGAGUAUGGCAUCAGAGGAAGACCACACACAAUUUUCUACUUUUAUUUCUGUAAUAUAUAGGGGCCAGGCUACUUCUGGUCUGCUUUAUACUGUCACUUAAUCAUAUUUGCUAUUUUAUACUAAUAAUUUGUAUAUUAAUAUUUGUGUGUGUAUUUCAAAGUCUGGCUGUUUUCAAGGGUCUGCUCUGCAGCACAAGGGUCUGAGUCAACAUAGUAUAAAUCAUUGGUUUAUUCAAUAAACAAAAUAGUGAAAGGAUAAAUUGAAUUUCUCCAGUUUCAGUCACCAGUUCUUGAUCUCUGGGGGAUACUCACCUAAUAUGUUAGUUAUGGAGCUAUGAAUAUGAUGUGCAGAUACAUCCUUGCUUGGGUUUAUCUACCUUGACCUUAUCUACCCUAAGAACUGAAGUGUUUAAAUUCUGGUUGAGAAUUGAAGCAGGUGAUUAGAACUAGAUGAUCUUUGAGGGCCCUUUCAACCCAAGCCAUUCUAUGACUCUUUGAAAGAGGAACUGUAGAUAAGUUCACUCAAUUUCUGUUCCUAAGUCCUUAGCUGUUCUCUGGAUGGAUAACAGGAUUUUUUAGGCACAGCAUUGCAUUCUCUACCAUCUUUGCUCUUUUCCCAAAAUAUUUCUGACUCAGUCAUCUCCUGCCUACACAGCGAACUUUUGCGCCCCCUGACUUAGGCUGAAUUGGUUUCUCUUUAUGUACAAACAGGACUGCUUUUUCUUUCCUGAUUUCAUAAUUGCUAUUUCUAUUGGUUUGCUUCUUUUAGUUUUCAAUUCUACUUCAACUUGACUAUGAAGAUUAUCAAGAAAUAAAGCAUGAUUCACAUCUACACAUAGUUUACGACCUUUAGAUUCAAGUCCCUUUAUAUAAACUUGCAAAUACGAAAGGAUACGUCAUAAGACCUUGUAGGCACCCAAACUGUCAGUGAAUUCAGCCUGAAACUGUUUUUUUCAGCUUUAUUGAGACCUCUUUAUAAGCUGUGCUUGUGUUAUGACAAUAGAUUGUUUACAGAUUCUUAAAAUGUCCUGAGUUGAUGGAAAAAAAAGGGCAAUUUUUUUCCUUACAAAUACCACUUGACUUUGAGGAGUGUUUGAAGCUACACAACCAGAAUAGGAACAUUCACACCCGCUGUACGAGUGGCUCAAAAACCCUGUCAUUUCUCUCAGGCCCAGCUCCAGCAAGCACUUACACACAUGCUUAACUUUAUGCACACGAGUAAUCCCAUUGAUUUAAUGGGAUUAUUCCCCUAUGCACAGUUACGCAAACAUAAGUGUUUGCAGGACUGGGGUCUAUUUCUCUUGCAAUGAUUUGAAACCUGUGGAAGAAAACGCUAUAUGCAAGUUAGAUAUUAUUUAAUGGCCACAUAUUAAGCCUGAAUAUUUCUGCUGAAAUUGGUGAGGCUGUGUGAGUUUCUUUCUGGCUGAGAAACUGUCCUCUUCUGUGCACAGUGCACACUCCUAGCUUGCUAUGGUGCACCGUGGCUAUCACAGCAUACAAAGGCAUAUGGGAACUGUUGAGUCACAGCCUGAACCACUGACUGAGCACCUGGGGAAAGGACCUGGUCAGCCCUGGGAGCACAGGUGAAGGCAAUUCACCUGUAUGACUGGAAGGGGUGCAGCCUGGCUCCACCUCUCUUAGAUCUCAUUUAAGGGCUGACUGCCACUGGGGAAGGAUCUCCUUCUGGAGAUCCCUCCUUGAUGGAGCUUUCCUUUGUGAACCUGGAAUCAUCUGAUACAGGUGAGCAAUCUUCUUCCCUUCUGUUAUAGCACCUGUCUAUCAUGCUUAUCCUUCAUCAUUAUAUGUCUAGUGAAACACCUUUUCCCAUCAUAUUUAUCUGUCCAUUUACUACAAAAACAAAACGGAGAGAUAAUCAGUAGUAGAAGUACUAAGAGAGAAAAUUCUCCAUGUCCAGAGGUUACUGUAUUUCAAAGCAUUGAUUUAUAACUUGACAAUGACAUUUACAAAACGUUCCUCUAUGUCCAGGAUAUCCUUCUCAUUAAUGCAAUAACAUAAUAACUCAUAAAUAUUUCAUAUAUGUAGAAAAGGCUUACUUUAUAUAUACAUAUGUGUAAAUAAAGAAAUCUAUACACAUAGAGAUGUAUAGUAGAAAAGUACUUCCAAGCAUCAAAAAAACUAUGCAUAAAAUUGUAUGCUCGCAUGCACAGGAUGAUCAUUGUUAUGAAAAUAACUUUGGUAAAAAUAACUGAACUUGAAGUUGCCUCUGACUUGGAUAGUUCACUUUUGAUUUGAAAUUCUGCAGCCAAGAUAAUUUUUAAAAAUUUAGGGCUAGUAACCAUCUGCCAUAAAUGAUAGAAAUUAAAUAUAAAUAAAAUAGUACUUCUACUACCAGUGAUGGGAAUCACAAGCCAAAUGUAUCCAUGGUCUAGGCAGCAGGAACACUUGUAGAACGAAAGCAGCUAAAGGAGCUGUUUUGGCCCAGACAUGUUUUGAUGUGUAGUGUAUCCUGUUGGCUGAACAACAGCAUUAUUAAGCAAUUUGGGCUGGAGCAUCACUGGGCUCUGUGAAGAAUUUGAAGAUCUUGACUGGAGCGUGUUGCAAGAAGAAUCAUGCUGUGUCAUUCAGUAAAAAUAUAAUCAGUCUUACGCCACUGGCACAUUCAAACACCUAGUGGGAUAUGCUGGGCAUCAGUGUUCAAGGUUUUAUGUAAGGUAACAGCUGCUUUGGUCAGGCAGUUAAUUAAAUGUGUUAAUUUUCCAUACAACCAACAGUAGUGACAACAGAUCAAAGUGGAAUUUUAUGACAUUUCAGGGUUCCCUUAUGUGAUCACAAUGGUGGAUGGCACCCACGCUAUCUUUCACAUCCCUUCACUGUAUGAUGCUGCCUUUCCCCUCUGGAAAGCUUCAGUCUUUGACUCUGCAAAUACUCCAAUGGUAAUACUCUGAUACUACUUGCUGGAUAUUGCCAGUUGUCCCAACUCCAAUCUUGAAAAGCUGCUUGGGCUUAUUCCCAUACUGAUGUUGGUUUAGUCUGAAGAUGAAGCAAUUCAUUUGCAAAGCUAUUUUUAAUUUUCUCCCUCCUGUCUUACAUUUCUUAUGAGAAAUAUUCAAUGUAGUGUGGAAAUAAACUAGUAUGGUAUUUUUGAAUAGAUACUGUAUUCUUCAGAUGUAGAAUUACAGAAAAUUAUUUCCUUUUCCUUGAUAGUUCCGUUUGCUGCAUUGCGAGAUGACAAAUUCAACCUUUUCCAUAACAUUGCUACUUUCAUAACACAGUAAUAACUCAAAGGCAUCGGGAAAGAUAAGGUAAAUGGAGAUGAUUCAUGGAAACGACUAUGAAAGCUUUUUAGAAAUAAUGGACUGACAAAUAUGAACAAUAUUUGAAUAAUAUAAAUGAACUAGACAAGUUUCUUCCCCACCAAAUGGAUAUAACACUGUGAAGAAAUGUGGAAGAAAUGUAAAACAACAAGUUAAGAGUAUAAGGACUGACCGAAAAUGAGUCACACUCCCACGCUUUUGGCUCACAAGUUGAAAUACUUGUUUUUACUUGAUUGGGUAGCCACUAAAAGUAUAUAGUAAGAUUUGUUUGAAUUUGAUCUGUCACUUUUUUGAUGGGUGACAAUGAUUUUAUGACAUAUGCCACAUAGUGUCACAUCAUUCAAAACACAUUAAGUCACGCUCUAUCCCGUCAUUUCUGAAGGCAAUAAUGCUAUUCAAUGUGACGUGACAUGAGGAGAUGUAACACAACUCAACAGCUGAAAAAAAUAAAAGGAAAGUUUUGUAGGUGUGACGUGGGUUCCUGAAAUUACAUUGUAAUGAAUCUUAGGAGGAAGAUCCCAGGAGCUAAGUUUGUAAAAUAGAUCCAUUGCUUGACUUGUGUCUUUAGGAUGAUGAGCUCUGGGUUACCGUGCACAGAGGGGCAGUGGGUGGAUGCUACAGUCAUGACAGCAGUCUCACUGGGCUCAGAGGCACAAACUAGCUCUUCAGGAACUACUUGUUGGAGGUUCUUAUGCCUGAAAAGAGACAAGACUGGAACUCUCUAUGGCUUGAAACACCUCUGAGUGUUUUAGAGCAUUUAAAAUUACUGCAGCCUUGAGGAUGUCCUAGGCAGAACCCAUUACAAGCUAGAUAUUUGCUGGUUCUAAUCCUCUAACAGCUCCUUAUGGCUGUUUACAUGGAUGGAUAGUAACAGGAAAAGAGGGAAUGGUCUUAAACUGAGACAGGGGAGGUUUAGGUUGGACAUUAGCAGGAAGUUUUUCACACAGAGGUUGGUGACGCACUGGAACAGGUUGCUCAAGGAGGCUGUGGAUGCCCCAUUCCUGGAGGCAUUCAAGGCCAGGCUGGAUGUGGCUCUGGGCAGCCUGGUGUGGUGGCUGGCAACCCUGCACAUAGUAGGGGAUUUGAAACUAGAUGAUCAUUGUGGUCCUUUUCAGCCCUGGCCAUUCUAUGAUUCUAAUAAAAUUAAAAUGAAGGUAUUUCCAGUCUAUAUGAGCUCUGCUCUUGUUUCUUAAACACUAUGUACUGUCCUGCCUUGGGACCAUCAGGAGCAGAGUGUCUGUGUUUUAUAUAGUAUCGUGACACUAGUUAUUAUUUCUGACUGCAAUGAAGCUAUGUCUACUUAUACACGCAAACAGCCUUUGGCUAGAUUAACAGGAAGUUCUCUCUUCCUACACCAAAAGUAGAACCUCACCACAAAAUGUGAAGUUGCCUGGUCAACUCUGCAAGAUCUCAAAUUCUACAGCUACUCAGGUUGCACCAUAGAUGUUUUCCAGGUUGGUAUAACUUAGCCAUGCACACAAAUAUGGUAUGCUUGCUAGUAUUACACAGCUCCAAAUCUACGCCUUCAUGAAUACAGUCUAGUUGCACAUUAUGUUUUUAUCACCUUUUUGUUGAUGGAGCCUAUGAAUACAGAUUCUCUAAGAUCUUUGGAUACUGUCAGAGUUGGAAGCUCAAGAUCACCCAACCUGAAAUGCUUCCUUAGCUGCCCACCUGGAAUCACUGACCUGAGUUGUCAUCUCCCAAUUCCUAAUAAAAUUCCUGGGAAGGUACUACAUGGCUGUUUUCUACUUUCUUGAAUCUGAUUUUGUUUUAUUCCUUUAAAACUGUCAUUGGAAUUUUUCCUCCUUCUGCAUCCUAACUACAUAAUAACACAGUCCUUAAACCCAGUGUAUAUGAUACAGCUUCAGUAAGAGAAUCAGAAUAGCUGAUCACUGGGGAAAUAGGGCUCUUAUCCAUGUGAGAAGGGGUUACGAAGGCCCUUGGACUUCAGCCUCCAACUCUUAGAUGUACAGCUAACCACUGAACAUUGUAAAUGGGGCACACAGUGCCAGUGAGACCUGAUAUGAUGGCCAAAAAGCUGCUCACAGCUCUGAAUACAAACAGAAAUGUGGGCCCAACUUUCUGCAAUAAUUCACCACCCUAUUUUCACAAUUUCUUAUUAACUUCCCUCUUUUUGGAGCUGCUGCUGUUCUCUAGGCCCAAUUUUCCCUGCUGAUUGUCUUAGAAGACAUCGUUGAUGUCUGGAGUUUUCAUCAUGUUCUAGGGCAGCUGAGAACUGAUUGGAGUAACGUCCAUUCACCUCUUUCUUUUGUGACCUUUUCCAAAAAAAAAAUAAACAAUCCUCUGCAGUUCUGUAACUAUCUUUUAAAAUGUUAAUUACUUGCAGGCUGAGUAUCUUGAAGUUCUUCCACCUUUGCUACCAAAGAGUAACUUGUGUAAAUUCUCGCUUUGUUGUCACACCUGUUGGAAAUCACUGUUACAACUUAGGUGUGAAAAAAUGUGACUGAACUAUACGUAGUAAGAAAAGUACACACACCAAUCUCAAUGUAAGUGCAUCACUGCUGCUAUAAAACAGACAAAACUACUUUGGUGACAUUCGCUGUUACUGUACGUUGACAAGUUCCCAUUUAAUUUACUACAUAUGGUUCUACGUCUCCAUAGCUACUCUCGUGAAUUCAUUAUUCAUUAAAUAAGUGAUGAAUUUACUCAAAUAUUGCAGCCACAUGGCCGACACAAAUGCAUUCUAAUAUUAUUAACACGUUGCCAACUUGCAACUCUUCGAAGUCUGAGUAAAUGUUUUGACAAGAAGAGGCAGCAAGAACAAAUAAGUAGUAGCAGUCUAGAUGAAGUUCAGCCAUAGUUCUAACAGCUUUAAAGUCUUAACAGUGUUUUCACUGGGGCAGUACCAGAUAAAUUGCUCUUAUGUGUGCAUACAAGAGACUAAAAUUCCUUUGAAAGUUUAUAAUUUCUCAUGGGAAAACACAACAUAAAAGUUACUUUUACUCAUAGAAAAACAACACCAUAUUUUCCUGUCAACCUUUGCUGUUGGGAAUUUCAAACUUUUUGCAUUUUUUCCCUGUGAUUCUUUGUCGACCCAAGGGACAGGCGUUUACAACAUAAUUUACUUUCAGCAUGUCUCUGUAAAUCAUUGUAAUACUUUCUAUGGCUAGAAAGAAAAAAAAAAACGCUCUCAAGUUGGACUGACAAAGUACUUUUCCGAGCCUCCAACAGCCAACUAAAAACACCUCUGUUUCAGAAAUGUGGAGAGAUACACAAAAGAAAAGUUUUAUGAGGGCUUUGCGUGAAUGUUUGUAUUCAGAGGUUGUAGCAUUUAUUAGGAAAUAUUUAUUGAACUGCAUUUACUUGCAGUAAAAUAUAUGGAAUGCUUAGUGUGUUGGUGGUACAAAUUAAAAUCACCAGCAUCCCAUGUUUGGAGGAAGGCCGUUAUUUUUUCCUUGCUGUUAUUGAGGCCUGUUGUUGUCACUGUUGUUGUACGGGCUUAGCAGAGCUGUCUCGGAUUAGGUGAUUUAAGCAUGGCCUCCCAUAAAAAAAGCUGGAAACCUGUAGAGCCUUUCAGCCUCACUUUUUGAGGCUGCUGCUAAUAUCAAGGCUCAUUCAGUUUUACAUUAGAACUUGAUGACUUGCACAUUGGUUGAACCUUCACCUUUUACAACCUUAAUGGGGAUUUAUUAGCUAUUUCACAGUGUGUAAAUUUGAAUCUAGGUCAGAUGAGGAAGAAAAAUAGGGCAAAUCUGGGCCUUAAGUAUAACCUGCAUAUAAUAUAUCAGGAUAAAAAAAAAAGGUGCAAAAUUAAACAGAUGAUUAAAAGUGUCUAGAGCAGUCAGAGUUUGAAAAAAGAGCUUGAUAAAUUAGGGGUGUUAGCGGGCUGCUUUUUUUUUUUCUGAGUUCAAACUCAGGUGACUGGUGAAAGUCUGGUUUCCACACAAAUUCAGCAGAUUAAGGAGUUAAAAUAGCUUGUUAACCUGUUUCUGCUAACUGCUCGCAAGAGGAAAUGUAACACAGGUGUGUUUGAUAUUCGCAAGAUUAAAGCUUUUGUCUACCAUCAAAUGUUCACCACAUUAAAGCUUUUUUAAUGAGGUAUUGGAAGAUAAUGAAUGUAAGCCUCUAAUUCACUGCAGAAGAGACAGCUUGCCCCUGCUCUGACCUCACUGCAGCCAGGUAUCUACAACAUAUUAGUCACACACAGACCCAAAGCCAAAAUAGCCACUCUGCUAAAAGCAGAAGUGUUUCGGGUGCUGGAACUUUUCUGCUCAGCAUCCUGGAAAUUUAAAGUCAGGUAUUCCUAGAGUGAGGGUACCCAUCCCUUACUACAGGAGGGCUGCCUGGAUGAGGAAAAAAAGCAGCAGGCACAAGGAGGGGUUUUUACAGUGCCUGUGGAUGGGGGAGUGACUAAGGGGAAAAAAUGGGUGUGAAUUAAUGCUUACUGCUCAAUUAUCAUUCAUCUUAACACUUAGAGAUGCUUAGAUAGUCAAUAGCUGGAGCAAGGAAACGCUGGG